rnacentral:rRNA from 1 species
ACCGGAUAGGACCACGGGAUGCAUGUCUUGUGGUGGAAAGCGCUUUAGCGGUGUGGGAUGAGCCCGCGGCCUAUCAGCUUGUUGGUGGGGUGACGGCCUACCAAGGCGACGACGGGUAGCCGGCCUGAGAGGGUGUCCGGCCACACUGGGACUGAGAUACGGCCCAGACUCCUACGGGAGGCAGCAGUGGGGAAUAUUGCACAAUGGGCGCAAGCCUGAUGCAGCGACGCCGCGUGGGGGAUGACGGCCUUCGGGUUGUAAACCUCUUUCACCAUCGACGAAGGUCCGGGUUCUCUCGGAUUGACGGUAGGUGGAGAAGAAGCACCGGCCAACUACGUGCCAGCAGCCGCGGUAAUACGUAGGGUGCGAGCGUUGUCCGGAAUUACUGGGCGUAAAGAGCUCGUAGGUGGUUUGUCGCGUUGUUCGUGAAAUCUCACGGCUUAACUGUGAGCGUGCGGGCGAUACGGGCAGACUAGAGUACUGCAGGGGAGACUGGAAUUCCUGGUGUAGCGGUGGAAUGCGCAGAUAUCAGGAGGAACACCGGUGGCGAAGGCGGGUCUCUGGGCAGUA